rnacentral:rRNA from 1 species
UACGUAGGGUGCGAGCGUUGUCCGGAAUUAUUGGGCGUAAAGGGCUCGUAGGCGGUCUGUCACGUCGGGAGUGAAAACACGGGGCUUAACCCCGUGCCUGCUUCCGAUACGGGCAGACUAGAGGUAUGCAGGGGAGAACGGAAUUCCUGGUGUAGCGGUGAAAUGCGCAGAUAUCUGGAGGAACACCGGUGGCGAAGGCGGCAUUCUGGACCGAAACUGACGCUGAGGCGCGGAAAGCCAGGGGAGCAAGCGGG